UGAGCAAUCUGCCCUUCUCAUCGGAAUAAGCGUUGGAAACGACGUCUAAUGCCGAAUACGACCUCCUUUCGCAUGAUCGGAGGUGGAAAGCUCCGGCGGAGAAGGAUGAGCUCGCGGCCUAUCAGCUAGUUGGUGUGGGUAAUGGCCUACCAAGGCGUCGACGGGUAGCCGGCCUGAGAGGGCGACCGGCCACACUGGGACUGAGACACGGCCCAGACUCCUACGGGAGCAG
rnacentral:rRNA from 1 species